rnacentral:rRNA from 1 species
GACGUAGGGCGCGAGCGUUUGUCCGGAUUUAUUGGGCGUAAAGAGCUCGUAGGCGGCUUGUCGCGUCGACUGUGAAAUCCCGCGGCUCAACCGCGGGUCUGCAGUCGAUACGGGCAGGCUAGAGUUCGGUAGGGGAGACUGGAAUUCCUGGUGUAGCGGUGAAAUGCGCAGAUAUCAGGAGGAACACCGAUGGCGAAGGCAGGUCUCUGGGCCGAUACUGACGCUGAGGAGCGAAAGCGUGGGGAGCGAACAGG